GGGGGGGGGGGUGCUAAUACAUGCAAGUCGAGCGAACAGAGAAGGAGCUUGCUCCUUUGACGUUAGCGGCGGACGGGUGAGUAACACGUGGGCAACCUACCUUAUAGUUUGGGAUAACUCCGGGAAACCGGGGCUAAUACCGAAUAAUCUAUUUUACUUCAUGGUGAAAUACUGAAAGACGGUUUCGGCUGUCGCUAUAAGAUGGGCCCGCGGCGCAUUAGCUAGUUGGUGAGGUAACGGCUCACCAAGGCGACGAUGCGUAGCCGACCUGAGAGGGUGAUCGGCCACACUGGGACUGAGACACGGCCCAGACUCCUACGGGAGGCAGCAGUAGGGAAUCUUCCACAAUGGGCGAAAGCCUGAUGGAGCAACGCCGCGUGAGUGAAGAAGGUUUUCGGAUCGUAAAACUCUGUUGUAAGGGAAGAACAAGUACAGUAGUAACUGGCUGUACCUUGACGGUACCUUAUUAGAAAGCCACGGCUAACUACGUGCCAGCAGCCGCGGUAAUACGUAGGUGGCAAGCGUUGUCCGGAAUUAUUGGGCGUAAAGCGCGCGCAGGCGGUCCUUUAAGUCUGAUGUGAAAGCCCACGGCUCAACCGUGGAGGGUCAUUGGAAACUGGGGGACUUGAGUGCAGAAGAGGAAAGUGGAAUUCCAAGUGUAGCGGUGAAAUGCGUAGAGAUUUGGAGGAACACCAGUGGCGAAGGCGACUUUCUGGUCUGUAACUGACGCUGAGGCGCGAAAGCGUGGGGAGCAAACAGGAUUAGAACUUGGGGAAAG
rnacentral:rRNA from 1 species